GACGAACGCUGGCGGCGUGCUUAACACAUGCAAGUCGAACGGGAUUUAGUAGACAGAAGCCUCGGCUAAAGAUUACUAAUGAGAGUGGCGAACGGGUGAGUAACGCGUGAGCAACCUGCCUAUGACAGUGGGAUAGCCUCGGGAAACCGGGAUUAAUACCGCAUAAAAUCGUAGAAACACAUGUUUUAACGGUCAAAGAUUUAUCGGUCAUAGAUGGGCUCGCGUCUGAUUAGCUAGUUGGUGAGAUAACAGCCCACCAAGGCGACGAUCAGUAGCCGGUCUGAGAGGAUGAACGGCCACAUUGGAACUGAGACACGGUCCAAACUCCUACGGGAGGCAGCAGUGGGGAAUAUUGCACAAUGGGGGAAACCCUGAUGCAGCGACGCCGCGUGAACGAAGAAGGUAUUCGUAUCGUAAAGUUCUGUCCUAUGGGAAGAUAAUGACAGUACCAUAGAAGAAAGCUCCGGCUAAAUACGUG
rnacentral:rRNA from 1 species